GGUCAAAAGAAAUGUACUAAAUAGGAUCCCAGUUGGGACACAGCCAAGUAGUAAAGUUCCUACUGUAUGGCCCAGGUGGAGAGCCACAGGAAGAUGGUCUGGGAGGACAACAUGUGAUUCAUCGACCAACACAACCUGGAGGCAGCAGAGGGCAAGCACACCUACACCCUGAGAAUGAACCACCUUGGAGACAUGGAAUACGUGUCAAGGGAUACUAGAGAUUUCCUGUUGACAACGAAAGAGCACAUGUGUGACGGUCUGUACAAUGUGGGCCCAGUCACUGUGUACAUGAAUUUAAGCUCUCAGACCUUCCAGUUUUACCAUGCCGAUGAGCAUUUUAUCAAUUCCUCGCAUCCUCCCUCUCCUCACCUACUUCUCAAAACGCAUUAGAGAAGGAGGUCUGAGGGGAGGGACCUUACAUUUAAUGUUGGUUUUACAUUUCAUUGCAUUGCUGAAUUAUAGCACAAGUGUAUUAAAACAACCACAAUAAUUAAUUUUAGGACACCUCUAUAACCCAGCAUGCUCCAAAAAUUAUAAUCAUAAUGUUUUGGCUGUUGGGUAUGGCAGACGCAACAUUGGCUACUGAAUUGUGAAGAACAUUACAUGCAAGUGAUAUACACAUUUUGGCAGAUUGUCAGAGUGUGAAGUUUGUUGUCAUGACAUCAGUAUCCAAGACAGGCAUGGCAUGAUAAUGGAAACUUUAUCCAAUAUUUUUUAUCUGUAUAUGUUUUAAGACAACACAUUUCAUGAAGUAAAAUCAGCGACAAACAAAUAUUAUUCAGUUGAUUAAAGGAUAACUUAAUUUUGUUGUAAUUGAAAGUCUGUGUUGUCUUUACAUUUUACAGCUGGGGUACUACUUGGGGACAUAAAGAUAUCUCCUCAAAAUCAAAUCAAAAUGUAUUUGUCACAUACACAUGGUUAGCAGAUGUUAAUGUGAGUGUAGCGAAAUGCUUGUGCUUCUAGUUCCGACCAUGCAGUAAUAUCUAACAAGUAAUCUAACAAUUUCACAACAACUACCUUAUAUACACAAGUGUAAAGGAAUUAAUAAAAAUAUGUACAUAAAAAUACAUGGAUGAGCGAUGGCCGAACGGCACAGGCAAGAUGCAAUAGAUGGUAUAGAGUACAGUAUAUACAUAUGAGAUGAGUAAUGUAAGGUAUGUAAACAUUAUAUAAAGCGUCAUUAUUUAAAGUGGCUAGUGAUAUAUUUAUUACAUCCAAUUUUUAAUUAUUAAAGUGGCUAGAGAUUGAGUCAGUAUGUUGGCAGCAGCCACUCAAUGUUAGUGAUGGCUGUUUAACAGUCUGAUGGCCUUGAGAUAGAAGCUGUUUUUCAUUCUCUCGGUCCCAGCUUUGAUGCACAUGUACUGACCUCGCCUUCUGGAUGAUAGCGGGGUGAACAGGCAGUGGCUCGGGUGGUUGUUGUCCUUGAUGAUCUUUUUGGCCUUCCUGUGACAUCGGGUGGUGUAGGUGUCCUGGAGGGUAGGUAGUUUGCCCCCGGUGAUGCGUUGUGCAGACCUCACUACCCUCUGGAGAGCCU
rnacentral:lncRNA from 8 species